AAUGUUUGGUUGAAAACUAGGUUGAUAAUCUUCUGUACCCAUUUGAGAAUAUCUUUUACUACCUGUAGAGGUGUAAGAGUGUGUAGUGCCGGAAGUAGUUACACCAUUCGCAUGAGAGUAACGGCGUGGAGGUUCAUUGAUUACAUCUGUGCGAGGAACGACACUAGCUUGAAAUUGUGUUUGAUAAUGACUUUGAGAAGGCAAACCAUCAAUGUCGGUAAGGGGUUCAGGAGUUUGGAAAGGAUUUUGCCAAUUAGCCAACUCACGUUCAGCCUCAACAAUAUAGUCACGGGUUAUGUUGUAACCAUCGUAAAUAGGGCGAGGCUCACCGGGAACAAUGGGAGUAUCGUCCAGGAGAUCGAGGAUCU